rnacentral:rRNA from 1 species
UGGCUAACUCCUACGGGAGGCAGCAGUGGGGAAUUUUGGACAAUGGGGGCAACCCUGAUCCAGCAAUGCCGCGUGAGUGAAGAAGGCCUUCGGGUUGUAAAGCUCUUUUGUCAGGGAAGAAACGGUAGUAGCUAAUAUCUAUUACUAAUGACGGUACUUGAAGAAUAAGCACCGGCUAACUACGUGCCAGCAGCCGCGGUCAUACGUAGGGUGCAAGCGUUAAUCGGAAUUACUGGGCGUAAAGCGUGGGCAGGCGGUUGUGUAAGUCAGAUGUGAAAUCCCCGGGCUCAACCUGGGAAUUGCAUUGGAGACUGCAAGGCUAGAGUGUGUCAGAGGGGGGUAAAAUUCUACGUGUAGCAGUGAAAUGCGUAGAUAUGUGGAGGAAUACCGAUGGCGAAGGCAGCCCCCUGGGAUAACACUGACGCUCAUGCACGAAAGCGUGGGGAGCAAACAGGAUUAGAAACCCGGGUAGUCCAGCUGG